rnacentral:rRNA from 1 species
AUUGAACGCUGGCGGCAGGCUUAACACAUGCAAGUCGAGCGGGGGAAGGUAGCUUGCUACCGGACCUAGCGGCGGACGGGUGAGUAAUGCUUAGGAAUCUGCCUAUUAGUGGGGGACAACAUCUCGAAAGGGAUGCUAAUACCGCAUACGUCCUACGGGAGAAAGCAGGGGAUCUUCGGACCUUGCGCUAAUAGAUGAGCCUAAGUCGGAUUAGCUAGGUGGUGGGGUAAAGGCCUACCAAGGCGACGAUCUGUAGCGGGUCUGAGAGGAUGAUCCGCCACACUGGGACUGAGACACGGCCCAUACUCCUACGGGAGGCAGCAGUGGGGACUAUUGGACAAUGGGGGGAACCCUGAUCCAGCCCUGCCGCGUGUGCGAAGAAGGCCUUAUGGUUGUAAAGCACUUUAAGCGAGGAGGAGGCUACUUUAGUUAAUACCUAGAGAUAGUGGACGUUCCUCGCAGAAUAAGCACCGGCUAACUCCGUG